CUCUCUCUCUCCUUUUGAAGAAAAUCUCUCAUUUGGGUAUCUUUCCAAUCUCGUUUUCAGUUAGGUUUUUCUAAAUCAUAACUCAAUGGAAAUCAUUUGAAUAAAAAAGAUGAAAGAAAGUUGGAUGACUAGAUAUGAAGGGGAGGAGGGGUUUCAGAUCCGUCGAUCUGAAGAAGGUUUUCAGACUUCGCUGGUGCAAAUCCAUUCUUGUCUAAGGAGGAGAUCGAAGACAUGAGCUCACGACUGAAGACUAUCGUCGGAGAGAUAAGGUAGAGAAGCGGAUUUCGAUUUAGGGUUUUGUCCUCCGUCGAUUCGCCUUCAGAUCACCGUGUGUGUGUGUUCAGAUGAAUAACCCAAGAACCCACGAACUCGAUUUGAUUUCGUCUUCAUGAUUUCGUCUUCUGAUUUUGUUUUCUUCUUUCUCCCUUAUUCGAUAUGCCCUCUAUUUCAUCUUCUGAUACCGUGGUACUCGAGGGUGUGGUUGGGGUGGGUUUUUUGGUGACAGUGAAAAUCGAGCCACAGAUGGUGAAGAUGAACUGAGAAGAGGGUGGUGUUGUAAACCGAUCCUAACAGUGAUGAAAAUAGAUGGAGAAGACUAACCCUAGAUAUGAUUUCUCAUUCUCUUUUCUCCAUCUCCAUUAAGAAUUGACGUGUUCAACAAUUUGUUCUAGGUGUUUUUUUGUUCAUCUACAGAAAGAGAAAGAAGAAGAUGGGUAUUUGGAGAGAGAGAGAGAGAUUUAUUUAUAUUUUUAUUGUUUAUUUUUUAUUUUUUUAAAUCUGAAAAUCAAGAAAAACAAUUAAGAAAAAAAAAAUCA